UGAUAUACAAUGCAAUUUCCAUAAAAAGUAAUUGUCAAAGGAGUGCAUCCGUUUGGAAAAAGAGAAAAUUUGACAAAAGAGUGGGUUGAUUUCACUAAUUUUAUUGGAUGCACUUGUUAUAAUUAUUAGUAAUUUAGAAAGGCUUUUGAUAUUUAAUUGGAGUCAUUUCUUCGCUCUCCCUUCUCUCUUGCAAACAACUCAGUGACCGGUGUCACUACCGGUACCGCGAGAAAGACCAUUCUUUUGCUUGUUGCAAAGCCUUGGUCUUCAUAGUGUGCUUGCCUUGUCUUUGGCUUGGCUGGGGCUCCGGUUUCUUGUUCCAAAUAUUUGGGGUCCGAUCUGGGGCGAGAUACCCCAAACCUACCUUAGUUCUCUCCUUUCAACUCACAAUGGUUUUGAGAUCUCUAGUUAACCGGCGUUUGUGGUUCUGGAUUUCCUGGUCUUAUAUUCUUUGGCUUGCAUGUCUGCUCUGAGGACAAUGGGCUGAGAUCGAGGUUUGAGGCUGGUGGAGGUGGAGGUUUGUGAGGUGAGGCUUCGCCUAUUCCGUACCGGCAAAGCCUGUUAGGUCUGUUGGCUACUUUUUCUCCUUGUGUUUUGCCUCUUAUUUUCGCGUUUCGUCAAGCCGGAUUUCCAUUCUUCUCUGGUUCGUGGGGCUUAUCGUUUUACUCUCCAUCGGAAGUUUCUCCUCCAUUCAUUUGGUGGUCUUUUGCGUUCCGCUUUUGGCGAUGUUCUGCAGUGACGUGGUGACCCCCUUGGUGGUUGCACACGCGCGCGCACACACACACAUUGACCUUGAGCUUUCAUUCCUAUAAACACUUUGACUCAUGUACACCUCCAUUUUCAUUAGUUUUAGUCUCAUUUAUACUCGAAAACAUUUGUAAGUUGUAAACCUUUUGAUAUAUGAUAUAGAAAAAAAUUCAUAAAUUACCUCAACU
rnacentral:lncRNA from 1 species